rnacentral:misc_RNA from 1 species
GUUCCUUUCCAAACACGGCCAGUCACCAACUGGAAAGGACGAGUGGAUAUCUCCUGACCUGAUGCUGCAACACCAACAAUAACCGAGGUCCCCCAGCCCUUGUGACAACAUUCCAAAGCAGACCUCAUCACAGAAACAUUGCCAAUACACUCAAAACUGUAGUCAACACCACCAUCUGUGAGAUCAAUGAUGACUUGCUGGAUUGGUUUAUCAUGGUCCUUUGGAUUCACAAAUUCAGUUACUCCGAAAUUCUUUGCUGUAUCAAACUUCUUGCUGUCAAUAUCUAUUCCAAUUAUUCGUGAAGCACCAGCUGCUUUUGCUCCCUCAGCAACUGCAAGACCAACCGUUCCAAGGCCAAAGAUAGCAACAAUAGACCCAGCUUCUACUUUUGCAGCGUUCCAAACUGCCCC